rnacentral:rRNA from 1 species
GAUGAUGGGAGCUUGCUCCUGGAUUAGUGGCGAACGGGUGAGUAACACGUGAGUAACCUGCCCUUAACUCUGGGAUAAGCCUGGGAAACUGGGUCUAAUACCGGAUAUGACUCCUCAUCGCAUGGUGGGGGGUGGAAAGCUUUAUUGUGGUUUUGGAUGGACUCGCGGCCUAUCAGCUUGUUGGUGAGGUAAUGGCUUACCAAGGCGACGACGGGUAGCCGGCCUGAGAGGGUGACCGGCCACACUGGGACUGAGACACGGCCCAGACUCCUACGGGAGGCAGCAGUGGGGAAUAUUGCACAAUGGGCGCAAGCCUGAUGCAGCGACGCCGCGUGAGGGAUGACGGCCUUCGGGUUGUAAACCUCUUUCAGUAGGGAAGAAGCGAAAGUGACGGUACCUGCAGAAGAAGCGCCGGCUAACUACGUGCCAGCAGCCGCGGUAAUACGUAGGGCGCAAGCGUUAUCCGGAAUUAUUGGGCGUAAAGAGCUCGUAGGCGGUUUGUCGCGUCUGCCGUGAAAGUCCGGGGCUCAACUCCGGAUCUGCGGUGGGUACGGGCAGACUAGAGUGAUGUAGGGGAGACUGGAAUUCCUGGUGUAGCGGUGAAAUGCGCAGAUAUCAGGAGGAACACCGAUGGCGAAGGCAGGUCUCUGGGCAUUAACUGACGCUGAGGAGCGAAAGCAUGGGGAGCGAACAGGAUUAGAUACCCUGGUAGUCCAUGCCGUAAACGUUGGGCACUAGGUGUGGGGGACAUU